rnacentral:rRNA from 1 species
ACGGGUGAGUAACACGUGGGUGAUCUGCCCUGCACUUCGGGAUAAGCCUGGGAAACUGGGUCUAAUACCGGAUAUGACCUCAGGUUGCAUGACUUGGGGUGGAAAGAUUUAUCGGUGCAGGAUGGGCCCGCGGCCUAUCAGCUUGUUGGUGGGGUAAUGGCCUACCAAGGCGACGACGGGUAGCCGACCUGAGAGGGUGACCGGCCACACUGGGACUGAGACACGGCCCAGACUCCUACGGGAGGCAGCAGUGGGGAAUAUUGCACAAUGGGCGAAAGCCUGAUGCAGCGACGGCGCGUGAGGGAUGACGGCCUUCGGGUUGUAAACCUCUUUCAGCAGGGACGAAGCGCAAGUGACGGUACCUGCAGAAGAAGCACCGGCUAACUACGUGCCAGCAGCCGCGGUGAUACGUAGGGUGCAAGCGUCGUCCGGAAUUACUGGGCGUAAAGAGUUCGUAGGCGGUUUGUCGCGUCGUUUGUGAAAACCAGCAGCUCAACUGCUGGCUUGCAGGCGAUACGGGCAGACUUGAGUACUGCAGGGGAGACUGGAAUUCCUGGUGUAGCGGUGAAA